rnacentral:rRNA from 1 species
CCUACGGGAGGCAGCAGUGGGGAAUAUUGGACAAUGGGGGCAACCCUGAUCCAGCCAUGCCGCGUGUGUGAAGAAGGCCCUCGGGUUGUAAAGCACUUUCAGUGAGGAAGAACGCCUGGUGGUUAAUACCCAUCAGGAAAGACAUCACCCACAGAAGAAGCACCGGCUAACUCCGUGCCAGCAGCCGCGGUAAUACGGAGGGUGCGAGCGUUAAUCGGAAUUACUGGGCGUAAAGCGCGCGUAGGUGGCUUGAUAAGCCGGUUGUGAAAGCCCCGGGCUCAACCUGGGAACGGCAUCCGGAACUGUCAAGCUAGAGUGCAGGAGAGGAAGGUAGAAUUCCCGGUGUAGCGGUGAAAUGCGUAGAGAUCGGGAGGAAUACCAGUGGCGAAGGCGGCCUUCUGGACUGACACUGACACUGAGGUGCGAAAGCGUGGGUAGCAAACAGGAUUAGAUACCCCUGUAGUC